CAGUAGCCGCGGGAAUACGUAGGGUGCGAGCGUUAAUCGGAAUUACUGGGCGUAAAGCGUGCGCAGGCGGUUUUGUAAGACAGAGGUGAAAUCCCCGGGCUCAACCUGGGAACUGCCUUUGUGACUGCAAGGCUAGAGUACGGCAGAGGGGGAUGGAAUUCCGCGUGUAGCAGUGAAAUGCGUAGAUAUGCGGAGGAACACCGAUGGCGAAGGCAAUCCCCUGGGCCUGUACUGACGCUCAUGCACGAAAGCGUGGGGAGCAAACAGGAUUAGAUACCCGGGUAGUCCCUGUCUCUUAUAA
rnacentral:rRNA from 1 species